CCUACGGGAGGCAGCAGUGGGGAAUAUUGCGCAAUGGGCGAAAGCCUGACGCAGCGACGCCGCGUGAGGGAUGAAGGUCUUCGGAUCGUAAACCUCUGUCAGAAGGGAAGAACGGUCACUGUGCUAAUCAGCUGUGCAUUGACGGUACCUGCAAAGGAAGCACCGGCUAACUCCGUGCCAGCAGCCGCGGUAAUACGGAGGGUGCGAGCGUUAAUCGGAAUUACUGGGCGUAAAGCGCUCGUAGGCGGUAUGUCAAGUCAAGGGUGAAAUCCCCGGGCUCAACCGUGGAACUGCCUUUGAAACUGGCAAACUGGAGUAUGUGAGAGGAUAGUGGAAUUCCUGGUGUAGGAGUGAAAUCCGUAGAUAUCAGGAGGAACAUCAGUGGCGAAGGCGACUGUCUGGCACAUAACUGACGCUGAGGUGCGAAAGCGUGGGUAGCAAACAGGAUUAGAUACCCUUGUAGUC
rnacentral:rRNA from 1 species